ensembl:lncRNA
AUGUUCAAUGGUAACAGACCGUCAGUGUGUUUUUUAAUUCAGCUAUGCUGCCAGAUCCUGAAGACAGACUACAGAAAAGCCAGUUGCCCAGGUAAAGCAGUCCACUCAGAACCUGUGGAGGUGUGCGUACAACAGCCAGGCAACUUAAAACUAGGAAACAACAGGAAUGGUAAAAGAUGGAUGUGUCUGCUUUUAACUCCAUGUCACAAAGCUGACAGGUCAGUAAAAAUUCAAUGUUUUUGUUUGAGUUCUAUUCUGAGAAAAUUGUUGUGGCUGCGUGGUGUGUCCUUUUUUAUUUCGGCUCCCAUGUUAAUAGGUUUGAGCUUGCACACUGCCUGCGAUCUUAGGCUGCAACAUCAUUCAAAUGGAAUAUGCGCUCUUUCAGCAGUCGGACUGACUGAAGGAGAUCUGACCAUGCAGGUUCUGGAGCUUUCUGAGGGACCUUUUUGGGCUAAUGAAGCAGAUGAUGAACUUUCAGAGGAACACAGUGACGGCGUGCCCUCGAAGACCGUCUCAGCCUAACGCACCGGAUGUAGGACAGACAUGCUGUCUGGCCACACAACCAGGUAUGAAUAUAGUUCCAUUGUUUCCAAGGCAUCAAAUUCUUGAAUGGUCACUGCUUACAGGAAAUAAGUGAUUGGACAUGCAAAACUAUGCCAAUUUUUACCUCAAUUCAUAGAGAAAUUAACCUCAAUAUAAGGACAAGUACUGGCCCACGGACCUGACGGACCUCAGCCAAACUGCCAUGCUUUAGCUCAGCCAGCCACACAGCAGAAAGAGGAGGCGCACCAGCCCAUGUGCUUAAAGCACUACUGGUCCCAGGAGAUAGCAGAGCUUCCUCGACCCAUCCAGCAUCCAGGUGAGUCUUUAGAAAUGAAACAAUUCAUUCUAACACAAUGUCUGGUUUUCAGUGAGUCGGAGAAGAUAGUGUCUGAAAAGAAGCCCGCAGGAACGGUGUCUCCGACAGGAAGUCCCACUCCAGCAGCUCCGCCCUCAUCAGUGCAACACAACACAAUGGCUAGACACCUGGGUGUGGACAGACACUUCCAUGCUCCGUAGAGCCAUCUGGAACUAUAUUCAGUGCAAGUUUGGGAUUCGGUAAGUCUCUUCACUGCUCACAGUUUCAGAAAUAUGUAGCAACAUUGAAUAUGUUUAUUCAUUCUACAAGGAACCAUUUAAAAUGCUGAAGAUGUCUCUGAGACUCCCCCGGGGCCUUCAAAUAUGGGAUUCGGUAAGUCUCUUCACUGCUCACAGUUUCAGAAAUAUGUAGCAACAUUGAAUACAUUUAUUCAUUCUACAAGGAACCUUUUAAAAUGAUAAAGAUGUCUCCGAGACUCCCCCGGGGCCUUCAAAUAAGCACCAGCGGGAGAUCAUUUGUUUAUGCAUCUCAACAGGUCCAAGGCCAGCGGUUUAACAUACGCUUCUGGCAUGUGUGUGCUGAGAUGCUGGACCAGAGGAGGACAGACAUGCUGUACGGACAUGCUGUCUCUCCACUACUCACAGUUUGCAUUCAUGCUGUCAAUGUACCAGACCAGGCAAUCUGAACCAGUUGGUCUGAAAACAGUGUAUCUGACCAGAGGAGGACAGACAUGCUGUACGGACAUGCUGUCUCUCCACUACUCACAGUUUGCAUUUAUGCUGUCAAUGUACCAGACCAGGCAAUCUGAACAAGUUUUUCUGAAAACAGUGUAUCCGGAGUGUAAAAGGGAUCAACAAGUAUAUGGACAAAUCCACAACAAUGUUAGCCAUGCCCAGCAAAUCUGCAUUCAUGCUCUCAACAUACCAGACUGGCCCUGUGGCGAUUGUAACUGA